GUCUAUGGCCCUAUCACUGUGAACACGCCUGUUCUCAUCUGAUCUCAAAAGCUAAGCAGGGCCUGGUUAGUACUUGGAUGGGAGAAAGAGACUGCUAUCAACC
rnacentral:rRNA from 1 species